CAAAAAGUAGUAUAUAAAUUACCACUCGUUUACACCGAGUAAAAGGCCACACAACCCUUUUUGA
rnacentral:tRNA from 1 species